UACGGAGGGAGCUAGCGUUGUUCGGAAAUACUGGGCGUAAAGCGCACGUAGGCGGCGCAGCAAGUCAGGGGUGAAAUCCCGGGGCUCAACCCCGGAACUGCCCUUGAAACUGCAGUGCUAGAAUCUUGGAGAGGCGAGUGGAAUUCCGAGUGUAGAGGUGAAAUUCGUAGAUAUUCGGAAGAACGCCAGUGGCGAAGGCGACUCGCUGGACAAGUAUUGACGCUGAGGUGCGAAAGCGUGGGGAGCAAACAGG
rnacentral:rRNA from 1 species